UACGUAGGUCCCGAGCGUUGUCCGGAUUUAUUGGGCGUAAAGCGAGCGCAGGUGGUUUAUUAAGUCUGGUGUAAGAGGCAGUGGCUCAACCAUUGUAUGCAUUGGAAACUGGUAGACUUGAGUGCAGGAGAGGAGAGUGGAAUUCCAUGUGUAGCGGUGAAAUGCGUAGAUAUAUGGAGGAACACCGGUGGCGAAAGCGGCUCUCUGGCCUGUAGCUGACACUGAGGCUCGAAAGCGUGGGGAGCAAACAGG
rnacentral:rRNA from 1 species